CCAGCAUCCCAAUCUUCGCAUCUUCCUAUCAAUUCUAAAUCCCUACCAAAUCCAAAUCCAAAAUUGUCUCUUCUUCCCGUCAAUCCAAAUUCACCUCUUCUUUUGAUUUUCCUUCUCUUCACUCUAUUCCCUUUUGUGUUUGUCCGAACCCUUCUUUCAUACUAUUGGCAAUCGAAGCCUUGCAUAUCGUGCGUUGUUGCUUGUGUCAUCCUCGCUCUCGGUUUUGUGUCACCAUUCAAAAAGGUGGAUUUCAAAUCAAAUUGAUACACCGGAAGUUGCAUUUGGGCAACCAAAGCCAACAUGACUCUCACAAUUUCAAAGCGAGCAACGGGAGAGAAAGUAUCAUCAAAAUCUAUACUUGGCAAUUGUGGCAUUUCACUGUUGCUAAAGGAGCCGGAUAAUGGAGAAUAUGAACUUGCUGGACUUAUAUUGCUGCUAUCACCAGGUGAGGAAGGAGUUAAACUUGCAAGGGAUGGAGAAUUUGAAGUUGCAGGUGAUGGCAUUUUUGGUUGUUCAACAUCAAAAUUUGAAAGAACCUGAAUUGUUAACAUUCCAACUUAAACAUGCCUCCUUAUUGAACACAACGUUCCUGCUAAUUAUCACUUUGCCACUUAUAGGAUUAUAUAAGUGAUAUGCUUUGGAUUGAGGACUAUAGCAAUCGAAAAUGCAUUUUUCAAAAUUUUCAUCAAGUUUAGAACGAGAAUUAACCAAAGCAUAUGCUACACAACCAAAAAUUUUUAAGUGGCUUACCCAAGGCUUCUUGCCCCUCCAUGCUUCGUAUGGUGUUAUAUUGAGAACGACCCUCAUUGGAGACAUAUUCAAGAGAUACACUGUUGUUGCUACUACUUCUCCCCAAAAAUGAUUUGGAAGCCCCUUUGCCUUCAACAUACUUCUAGCCAUUUCCACCACCGUAUGAUUUUUUCGCUCCGCAACACCAUUUUGCUAUGGCGUGUAAGGUGUUGUAAGUUCUCUGUGUAUGCCAUGCUCAUCACAAAAAUCAGUGAAAUCAUUAUAUAAGAAUUCACCGCCUCGAUCUGUUCGAAGUGCUUUUAUGCUGUUGCCACUUUGUGUCUCCACCAAUGCCUUGAAUUUCUUGAAAUUCUCAAAGGUUUCUUAUUUGAAUUUCAAGAAAUAAACCCAACUCAUACAGUUAUAAUCAUCUGUAAAUAGCAAAAAAUAACGACUACCUCCAAGUGACUUAGUUUGCAUAGGCCGACACAAAUCAGCAUGCACAAGUUUAAUACAAUUUGAAGCCCUCCAUGAUUUUCCAAUAGGAAAUGAUCUUCUACUUUGUUUCCUAUAAACAAACCCUUCACAAAAAUCAAGUUCACCAAUUUCCGGCAAGCCAACAACCAUUUCUUUCUAUCUUAAAAGUCUUAAACUGUUCACAUUCAAAUGCCCAAAAUGUAAAUGCCAUAGUUUAGCCUCAUUAUUUCCCCUAACAACUAAGGCUUUGCUCACUGCAUUUGAAACAUCAAAAGGAAACAUUUUGUUUUGUGUCAUAUGGACAUUUGCAAUGAUUUGACCAGAUUUUUUAUCAUUAACAACACAUGAAUCACCAUCAAACACAACCUUAUAUCCACUAAUCAUCAAUUGUUUAACACUCAAUAAGUUAUGAGCUAAACGAGGCAAAAAUUGCACAUCAUAAAGGAGUUUGACAUCACUUUGUAAGGUUUUGAUGGCAAUUGUACCUUUCCCUUCUACUUGCAUCUGCUUGUUGUCUCUGAGUCGAACGUCACCUUUCUGUGACUUGUCAAGCUCUUUGAACAACGACUUUGUCCCAGACAUGUGGUUGGAGCAUCCAUUUUCCAAAAACCAUACUAUAUUGCGGUUUAGCGUAUCUUGAAUAAGUAAAUGGCCAUGAAUAGCUUGCUCUCCUCUUCAACCUUCUCUGUAAAAUUUACUUGCUUCUAUUCUUCCCUCUGUUUGGCCUAACAGUUUACUUCUUUAUGCCCCAUUUUGUUGCAAUAUCUACAUUGGAUUAAGAUCUUGUAUUGACGUGUUUCACCAAAUUGACCUCUACCUCUACCGCUACGACCUCGUCUAUGAAAUCCACCUCUGCCUUUGCCUCGGCCUCCUUAAUUUUAUGACUUUCCUUUGAAAGAAGACUCCCAUUUCACCUGAAAAGCCUUCUCUUCAACCUUUUUAGAUGAUUUGCUAAGCCUAUCUUUAUGAGCUAGCAGAGAGCUCAUCAAUUCAUCAAAGGAAUAAGUGGACAUAUCCUUUGACUCUUCAAUUGCAGCAACAACAUUAUUGAAUUUUGAGGUUAAACUCCUCAAAACCUUGCACACAACUGUCUCAUUACUGAUUUUUUCACCAUAACUCUUCAUGUGAUUGACAAUACCAGACACCCUAGAAAAAAAUUCUUACACAGAUUCUUAUUCUUACAUAGCCAACGUUUCAAAAUUAAGACGAAGAGUUUAUAGCUUCAGAGUAAUUACCUUUUUGUCUCCCAUAUUCUCUCGCAGCUGUUAAGUAGGCUCAAUUGGUUGCCUAUCUUCAAACCCGUUUUCUACCAAGUCCCAUAUCUCUUGAGACUUGAAGAGAGUUUUCAUCUUGAGACUCCAAAAAUGAUAAUUUACCCAUUUGAAAAUUGGAAUAAGGGGUUGAGAUAAAGCAUUUGUGCCAUUUUCUACCAUUGGUCUGCAAAUUAGAAUCACCUUUUAUUUCACCUUUUAUUCUUUGUCUCUCACUUGAUCUUUUCCCUUAUGGAAAAAAAGAUCGAAACCUAGUUGUGGCUCUGAUACCACAAAUGUUGGUAAGAUGGAGGAAAAAACUAUAUUGCAAUAGAAUAUUGAGAGGCAAGGUCAAUAACAAAAGGUCAUCCAUUAAAAAAGUCUAAUACACCAAGCCUUGAAUAAUGCUAGUAGUAGCAACAAAAAAUGCUAAACAACAAGAUCACAAACCCAUUACCAGGUUUAGUGCCAGAUGUAAUUGACCACUAACAUAAUGACUCGAACAAAUAAAAGCAUAAAACACCUACGCUUAAAAAAUAGCAACUAAUAGUUCGAAUCAUUCAUUAAUAGAGAAAUCAUAAUAUGAGCUGAUCUUUUAGUUUAAUCCUUGCUAUCUACUUGCAAAACAUUAUCAAAGUUAAAGUGAAAAUCUCACAUAAAUCUCAUUAAGUUCAUAUUUGGUAGCUAAAUUUUGAAGAACUCCAGGUUCUUAGAAAUAUGAAAGCUUAGUCAUGUCAUCAACACCUCUAAAAGGAGCUUAUGUAUCCUUUGGAAACACUUUUGUGACGUCAGUGACAACCUGCAAUGAAUUAUCCAUUCAGUGAGAUUCGUUUAAUAACUAUGAAAUAAAAUUCUUGGAAAGACAUGGCUCGGGGCAUAUCUACGAUCAUACUUGCUAUUAGUUAUUACGACUCCAGGUUCAUGCAAAUAUGAAACCUGACCUUAAUUCAAAUUAAGUAACAUUAUGUAUGAUGAACAUGAGGACCAUGUUCUACCACUACACUAGGGGACUUUCCUGCUAAAGGAAAUUUUGUACGGCGGUAUGGGUAAAAUUAAAAUUUUACAUAUAUUAAAUACAUGUAGUGGAAUUAAUAAUACACAAACCAUACGCAAAUUUGAUAUUUAAGCAACACGUAUAUUCAUCCCAUGAAUAUAAAUAAACACAUAUUUGUAGUUUGGUGUAGGGAUGGAGUACAAAAUCAGUUUUUUGUACUGAGACCGUAUCCACCUUAGGCUGUGGUGGUCUUAAUCUGUCCACAUCUAUCACACUAUCCGAUACCGUUCUAGUUACCUCUUCUCGUGCUAGACACAAAGGUUCCCUGUAUCACUUAUACCCACGUCUCAAUUUUUCUUGUGUGACUCUCACACGAAUUAAUUUUAUAACGGUAGAAAAAAUUACAAAGAAAGCAGAGGAAGAAGAAGAAGAAGAAGAAGAAGAAGAAGAAGUAGCAUGCAAGCAAUUAAUAUUGUUGCUUCAAUUUAAUCCUUAGAGAAUUCGUCCCUCGCUAAGCUGUAACACCCAGUGUUACUAGUGUUAAGAAAAUGAGAAAGAAAAUGAGAAACUUCCAAAAUGGAUCCUUAAGAAUAAUAGUGCCUUAUGAGAGGGGAGGGGCAUUUUGAUAAUUUGGAUAGUAAAGUCAAAUGAAUGAAUUAAAUUAUUAAAAAUAGGAAAAAUAGUAAAUAUUCAAUUAUGUGAGAAAUAAUUGUUUUUUUCCUAAAUUGGUGAAUUAAGGUGGUGAUGCCUAAUGGAUGGUUAAGAUGGAAAAUGGUCUCCCAUUAAUGCUUUGAAAAUAUGGGAUUUAUUUAAGGGGAAAAGAAAUUAAUUAUGUAAUUCAUUCUUGAUGUGUGAAAAUUGUCUCCAUUUAUUAAAUGUUGAGAAAUUAUUAAAUCCAAUGGAUGGGAUUAAUCUUUGAGUGGGAUUUGUGAUCCAAUGGUGAUUAUUUAUUCUUGGGUCAUGGCAUGGAUUGCCAAUGUGUAUAUAUAUAUAUGUAUUUGUGGGAAGGCACAUAUCAAUAUAUGUGUGUGUGCAUAUGUGUAGAUAUUUUUGGAGAAAUGAGAGAUUAAAAUAAUUUAAAAAGGAAAUUAUAAAUGUCUCUCAAAGAAUUUAUGAAGGCCAUCAUAAUGUUGGAGAAAAAGAUAAAUGGAAAAGAAAGUAAAAUGGUCACCAUUAAUGCUUGAAAAUAUGGUGAUUUAUAUAAAUGAAAAAGGAGGGAUUUAUGUCUCUCAAAAGUGAUGGGUAAAAUUAGUCCAAUUUAAAUAAUUGCAAAUUGGAAAGAAUUCAAGCUAUGAGAUUGGGUCUUAAAAUUGGAAGAAUGAUCCAAUGGUGGUGGAUGGAAGCUUGUGGUUGGCAUGGAUUGUCACAUAUGGUUGUAGCCAAGAUGUGUUUCUAUCCAAUGAUGGAGAUUAGAUCUCCUCAAAAUCAAUGGUUGAGAUUGAGAUUUCUCAAGAGCACAUGGAUUGUGCUUUAUUUGUAUGGCUAGGAUUUACUCUCCAAAAGAGAAAAGAAUGGAGGGUUGAGAUGAAGUCUUGUAUUUGUAAUAUCAAGACUAGAAGAAUAAAUCAAAAAGAAAGGAAAAUGAAUGAAGAAUGAAGAAAUCUUCCAUUGUUGAGAAAAAGAAAGAAAGAGAGAUAGGAAGAAGUCUCUCAAAGAGGAAAUGAUGAAGAAGAAGAUGAAGGGAUCAAGGUAAGUCUUAUUUUUCUUCUCUUUAUUUUGGUAUACUUUGUAUGCAAAGUAAGUUGCUUGUUUGAAAUGUCACCUUAGAUAGAAAAAGAUGAUGAUGGGAGCUCUCUUGAGAUGAAGAUUGGAAGAUUUAAAGAAUGAGGUAAGGGAUAACCCCAUGGAAUGGUGGCUUGUAAGUGGUAAAGUAUG